rnacentral:lncRNA from 1 species
ACGAAUAAAGGACAUAGCAUAAAGAAGCAUAGAGCAAAGAACAGAUUGAAUGAUAGUAAGGCGACCUGCAAAUCAGAAAGCUCUCCACUUCCACCUUGCAAGCUUUGCAAGAAUAUUGUUAGUGAGAAGAUCGAUGUUUGUUGCGUGAAGCUUAGAGGUGGAAAUAGGAACUCCGAAAUACCUCCAUACACCAAUUUUCCAAGGCAUAUGAAAAAUAAAAGAGUUGAGGCACUUGAUCUCAGGAGU